rnacentral:tRNA from 1 species
ACCUGGGUGGCUCAGUCGGUUGAGAGCCUGACUUUGGCUCAGGUCACGAUCUCAUGGUUCGUGGGUUCAAGCCCCACAUUGGGCU